AUGACAUCUCUGUAUGGCUUUUUUUCAGACUCCACACUUCAUUCCUGCAUCCCUGUGGAAGUGUCCAGAGGCAGGCUGAAACUGUUCACAGAAUAACCAAACCCUCCUCAACUUCUCAGGUUUAUGGCCAAAAUGGGACAGCCGUUUCAGUUCAUAAGCAAUCACUUGACAGAUAACUUUGGACAUACCUACUGCCCAAGGACCCCUGGGACUCCUACGAAGGAUGCCACUACGGUGAGGAGAGAGGAGACCACUCAUCGGUACUACAUGGCAGCGUAGCCUGGCAUCAGGAGGCCUGAGGAUCUGCAGGAUCUUGGGGUUUCACUUUCCACAUCGGUACAAUGAGAAUAAAAUGGCACCUGACUGCAUACCUGGAGAGCGUUUACAGAAAGCAUACUCUAUGCAGGAUGCCUGUGGAGGGGACACCAAGGGCCCGUGUGGGAAAGGACUUGACCGAGGCCUGCUGCCAGCUCUAGGUGCCUUUCACCGUCCCUCCAGCGACUGCAUCCUGGGAAUCCCAAAGCAGGAAUCAACAUCUCUCAAAGGGCUUCUUUAACAAACCAAUUUGUGAAAUGUUUAACUACGGAAAGCCUUACACAGCAUUUGCAGUCUUCAUCUGGUUGUGUUUACAUUAAAUCACCUUUGUUGCAAAGAAUAAAAUAAAAUGAAAUUUAAAGUGUUCUGGAAAAUUUGA